GGUUUUGAAAGUGUUCUUGCAAGGAAAAUUAAAUUAAAAUAAAACUGGAAAUUAAAUACAACCAAACAUAAUUGAAAACAUAAAAUAAUUGAACAAAGCAUGAAGACUAAAUAACAAAAAGAAAAACGCAUGACAUUGAAAAUAAAAUCACUAAGCUACUUCAUUCUAGAAGAAAAUGGUAUAAACUUUUCCAAAAAAAAUCAGCUAUGUGCUUCCCUAAAAUUGAAAAACUUUUUCUCCUCUGCUGGACGUGAAGCACACUUUUUCUCCAAAUAAAAAUCACCAUGCGCCACUUACAAAAUUCAAUAUCCAGCAUGUUGUUCCUUCUUAAAAUUCAAUCACGGCAUCCUAUAUAAUCAUCGUGGAUAACUUUUCUAGAAGACAAGAAAGUGAAUGAAAUUCAAAUAAAAAAGUUGCAACAGCAUGCACCACUUAAUGAAUCAGCCAUUCUUCAUUCAAAUAAAAAUGAAAAGUAUGUUUCAAUUACAAAAAAAUAAAAAAAUAAAAAAAUGAUCGCUUUGCUUCAUUCUCUCCAGGACGUCAGCGCAUAUGCCAUUUCCUUAAACCCAAGAUUGAACACCAACGUGAGACAACAACUCCUCAUUACCGUGCAGCUCUCAAUUCAAAAUAAAUCACUUGCAGCCAUCAGCCCAUCCUACCUAAUGCUAAUUAAAAGAUUGAAUUGUGCUCUAAAAUUC
rnacentral:lncRNA from 1 species